rnacentral:rRNA from 1 species
CGGUAAUUCCAGCUCCAAUAGCGUAUACUAAAGUUGUUGCAGUUAAAAAGCUCGUAGUUGGAUUUCUGCGGGGACGGAGCGGCCGGUCGCAACUUGCGACUCGAGCUAGCGCUUUCCCCGCAUCCUGCCGCGAACCGUGCUACCAUUAGUUUGGUGGCGCUGGGGAUCGGCUCGAUUACUUUGAGAAAAAUAGAGUGUUCAAAGCAGGCCACACGCCUUGAAUAAGUUAGCAUGGAAUAAUGACUAAGGACUUUGGUUCUUUUCGUUGGUGUUCGGGACUGAAGUAAUGAUUGAUAGGGGCAGUUGGGGCGGUCCGUAUUCCAAAGCGAGAGGUGAAAUUCUUAGACCUUCGGAAGACGAACAGCUGCGAAAGCGUUCCGCAAGGAUGUUCCCUUUGAUCAAGAACGAAAGUUGGGGGAUCGAAGACGAUCAGAUACCGUCGUAGUCUCAACUAUAAACUAUACCAGCUAGGGAUCGGCCAACGUUUAAUUAUUCGACUUGGUCGGCACCUUAUGAGAAAUCAAAGCAUCUGGGUUCCGGGGGGAGUAUGGUCGCAAGGCUGAAACUUAAAGGAAUUGACGGAAGGGCACCACCAGCCGUGGAGCCUGUGGCUUAAUUUGACUCAACACGGGAAAACUUACCAGGUCCGGACAUAGUAAGGAUUGACAGAUUGAUAGCUCUUUCUUGAUUCUGUGGGUGGUGGUGCAUGGCCGUUUUUAGUCGGUGGAUGUGAUCUGUCUGCUUAAUUGCGUUAACGGACGAGACCCCAGCCUGCUAAAUAGCGCGGCCGAGCUUUGCUCGGUGCGAGCUUCUUAGAGGGACCAUGAUGCGCGAUAGCACAAGGAAGUUUGGGGCAACAACAGGUCUGUGAUGCCCUUAGAUGUUCUGGGCCGCACACGGGCUACACUGGCGCCUGCAACGAGCAUAUCAGCUGGCCCGAGAGGGUCUUGGCUAAUCUUUGGAACCGGCGCCGUGCUUGGGAUUGACCAUUGCAAUUGUUGGUCAUGCAACGAGGAAUGCCUUGUAAACGCGAGUCAUCAGCUCGCAUUGAAUACGUCCCUGCCCUUUGUACACACCGCCCGUCGCUCCUACCGAUGAAUGUUCCGAUGAAAUUUUCGGAGAGCGCCGGAGAACGAGGCUCCGCCCUGCAGAACUGGAGGCUCAAAGUCACUUAAAUCUGAACAUUUCGAGGAAGGAGAAGUCGUAACAAGGUAACC